rnacentral:misc_RNA from 1 species
GACCGGGUUUUAGUAUAUACGAGUUUUUUGAAAUAAAAAGAAGAAAUACCGCCCUCUUGUUCUAUCAAGAGGGCGGUAUUUCUUCUUUUUCUAUUUCAGACUGUUUUAGAUAAACAAAUAUUUUUGAAUGAUCAAAAAGGAAUCCUUUUUUUUUCUUUAAUAAAUAAUUAAUAAAUAAAUAAAAGAAAAUUGGC